UAGGAGAAAAUCUUAAGAAAUUUUUAAUACUAAGUCACUUUUCAAAAAGAAACUUAUUUAAGAGUUCGAUGAAUAUUUCCUAACUUUUCACCCCAAUAUCGCAUCAACUUUACACAAAGUUAGCAUUAACUACAAUGGAGAACAGCAGUUUAAAUGAACAGUUAAUUUGCACGCGCAAUAAACAGUUUAAUUUGCACGUGCUAUGAAAUUCCGUUCGAGUUAAAACUUAAAGUUUAAGAAACCUUUAAGAAACUCAAUAUUUCAAAAUGUCGUUAGAGAAUAUAUCAAAAAAUUAUAAUGAAACUGAAGGAGAAAGAAAAAAUUCAAAUGUGUUUUGGUCUGGUGAUUUUGGAUACACUAAAGAUAAACUUUAUAAAGACAAACUGCAUCUUAAGUGUCGUUUUUUUACAAGAAUGAUCUGCAAAGGCAGAGAUUCAUGAAGAUAAACUUCAGGUUACUCUUCACAGUUGCAGUUCAAGAGAAACAGACUUUGAAGUGCUGCUUGCUAAAAGUACCAUGAAGAAAUAAGCUGAAGCAACAUCUGAAGACCUGCGCUCAAUUUUUCAAAACACUAUGAGUGAGUUUCCUGCAGUUGUUUCUGAAUCUGUUAGUUUUCGUCAAAUUAUCCCAAGUCUUCAGAAAAGGAGAAGGCUAAAUGAGCCUUCGAACCCAAAAUCACCAAAUGAAGCUGCUGAAGUUCUGAACGACAAAAAUGUCAUCGGUAUGGAGACAUUUUCUUGGGAUCAGUUGCAGAACAGGAUAACGUAGCAUUGCUGUUUGGGCAUAUGCUAGUCAUCAACAAGGCGAAAUCGGCCAAAGUGUGUUUUGUUGAUGGAACAUUUAGCAUGACACCACGCAUGGAGGAGUGGUAUCAGCUCUGGAGGAGUGGUAUCAGCUCUCAAGUGGUAUCAGCUCUUGAUUUUUUUUUUUUUUAAUAUUCAGCAGUACUUGAAGAUCCAAUUCCAGAUGAGGAUCAGAUGAAUUUUGAUCCUGAUAACCCUCACACUUGGGGAGCAUCUGUUCCAGCUGUAUGCGCUUUAAUGACAACGAAACCCAAGGCUCUAUACAUGCUUGCUUUUCCUAAAUAAAAGAAGUUUUAGAUUUCUCUCCAGUCACCAUUAUAUCAGAUUUUGAACGAGGACUACAGAAUGCUUUAAAAACAGCUUGGAGUGAAAGCUUGGUGAAUAGUUGCAGGUUUCAUUUCGAAAAUGCAAUCACCAAGCAAUUAGCAAUUCUUGGUCUUCAGAGGGAAUACCGCCACCAAAUUCAAGUAAAAAUGUUGGCACGAAAAGUUUCAGCACUUUGUCUUCUUCCUGCAAACAAGAUCUUGGUUGCUUGGGGAUCUCAAGUUACAGAGAUUGCACAAUUUAUUCGCGAAAUCAAAUUCAAACUACUUGCUUUUAAAAGGUAUUUUAUAGGUAUUGGCUCAAUAUAGUGACCCCAGAAGGAUUCAGUGUUUAUGGCUUGAACCACAAAACCAAUAACAAUGCAGAGAGUCUCAAUAGACAUCUGAAAUCAAACAUGGGUGAUCGACAUAGAGGAUUUUAGCAGUUUAUGAAAUUGCUUAACCAACAUGUAAUAGUCCAUACAAUUCAAGAGCUUCAACAGUGACCAACGCGACUAUGGUGCAAUUGAAAAAAUGCGUUGUUUUGAAAAAAAACUUCGAGACGGAGUUUGGACAACUGAGAGAUUCCUAUCAACAGUAUCAUAUCUCUUUCAAUACUUCAAAGUAGUGGAAGAUAAUUUUCCAAGUUUUUGUAUAUCACUUCUUAUUUA